CCUACGAUGAGAGAAAACAGAGGAAAAACUGCUUUGUCAAAAAAGAAAAACUGCCACACGCACGAUCUCAAAGAAAUUGGACGUUCUGGGAGUUUCAUCCCUAUCAGUUUAUCAAAAGAAGAGACGCAAUGCAGAAAGAGGCAACAAAGAAAAUCAAACCUAGAAGGAGCAAUAGAGGAAAAUCAAAUUUGGAUUUUAAGGGAUCUUGAACAUAUGAGGAAUUUCUGUAUAACGUCUCCAGAACUACAAUAAAAAGGACUGUUGAUAUCAUAAUCUUGGUGGAAGCUUUGAGGAAGGUGAGCAUGAAGGCACAGGAUGAGGCAGAAAUAGCAUGCAUGUUGUUACAAUUCCAUCGUAAGGAGGCUGCUGCAUAAUUGAAGUGACAUGAAGGACAUGAUCUUAGUACUGCAUGAAAUAUGAGAAUCUAGAAUCUCUGU